rnacentral:rRNA from 1 species
ACUUCGGUCAAAUGACUUUUGAACUUAGUGGCGGACGGGUGAGUAACGCGUGAGCAACCUGCCUUUCAGAGGGGGAUAACAUUUGGAAACAGAUGCUAAUACCGCAUAAGAUUACAGUACCGCAUGAUACAGUGAUCAAAGGAGCAAUCCGCUGAAAGAUGGGCUCGCGUCCGAUUAGCUAGUUGGUGAGGUAACGGCCCACCAAGGCGACGAUUGGUAGCCGGACUGAGAGGUUGAACGGCCACAUUGGAACUGAGACACGGUCCAAACUCC